UAAUAUGACAAUGGAGACACUAUACCUACACACAGUUCUGCCCAAACAGCUGACAAAAGAUGAUUUCCAUCAUAGAUGCCCUUUAAGUUGUUAAAAUUAUCUGCGAUUUAAUGUUUUCAUAUAGUGUUUGAGCUGAUAAUCAAAGUUUAAAUGUGUAUAAUCAAAAGGAGGAAUCCAUUUUUAUUCUCUUGCCAAGAGAUUUUUCACCAUCUACAUACACAACAAGAUCAUUUGCACAGCCUGCAUGUGGUUCCGUUUGAAAAGCACUGCAGAUAUUAUAGAGAUUCAUGGGAGUAAAGGUAACUCAUAAAUUUCUUGAUGUUUAAACUUUGAACAUUAGUCUUAACACCACUCCUACCUUCAAUGUGAUUUAUUACUUUAUUUUUUGACUUCCUGCUCAGUGUUGAGGAGAAUUCAAUGGCUUUGUGUUUCUAUUUCUAUGGUCUAAGCUAUUUUUGAGCUUCUGUAUUUAGUAAAAUGGCAGAAUCCACACUUUCCUUGGCUCAGGAUCAGUUCAACUGUUCCCUCUGUUUGGAGCUGCUAAAGGAUUCAGUGGCCAUUCCCUGUGGACACAGUUACUGUAUGAGCUGUAUUUCAGACUGCUGGGAUCAGGAUGAGCAGAAGGGAGUCUACAGCUGCCCUCAGUGCAGACAGACCUUCACUCCAAGACCUGCUUUAGGGAAAAACACCAUGCUGACUGAAGUUGUGGAGAAACUCAAGAAGACCAAACUACAAGCUGCUCGUCCUGCUCAGUGUUACUCUGAAUCUGCAGAUGUGGAGUGUGGUGUUUGUACUGGAGAUAAAAAUAAAGCCAUCAAGUCGUGUCUGGUGUGUCUGAACUCUUACUGCCAAAAUCAUCUUGAACAACACGAGAGUUUCUUCAGAGGUAAAAGACACAAUCUGAUGGACGCCACUGGACGACUGCAGGAGAUGAUCUGCCCUCAACAUGAGAAACUACUGGAGUUCUUUUGCCGUACUGACCAGCGCUGUGUUUGUUAUCUGUGUACAAUGGAUAAACACAAAAACCACAACACUGUAUCAGCUACAGCAGAGAGGACUGACAAACAGAGUCAGUUGGCUGAGAUGCAAAAAACAACCCAUCAGCGAAUCGAGGAGAAACAAAAGGAGUGUGUGGAGCUGAGAGAGGCUGUUGAGUCUUACAAGUGCUCUGCACAGGCAGCAGUGGAGGACACUGAGAGGAUCUUUACUGAGCUCAUCCGCUUCAUUGAGAGAAACCGCUCUGGGUUGACACAGCUGAUCAGAGAUCAGGAAAAGGCUGCAGUGAGUGGAGCUGAAGGACGACUGGAGCGACUCGAACAGGAGAUUGAUGAUCUGAGGAGGAGAGACGCUGAGCUGGAGCAGCUUUCACACACAGACCAUCACAUUCAUUUCCUCCAGAGUUUCCAGUCUCUCUCUGCUCCUCCUGGAUCCACAGACUCAUCCAGCAUCGCUGUCAGCUCUCGUCUCUCUUUUGAAGAUGUUGGUAAAUCUUUGUCUCUUCUGAGAGAGAAACUGGAGCAUUUCUGCAGAGACGAGUUAGAAAUUAUAUCUGACAGAGUUACAAACAUAAACAUAAUUCCCACCUCUGAGCCAGAGACAAUUGAGCAGUUCCAACAAUAUUCCCGUCAGUUCACUUUGGAUCCAAACACAGUGAAUAAUUACCUGGUGCUAUCUGAAGAUAACAGAGUAAUUGAUGUCAUUCGAACAUACCAGCAGUAUCCUGAUCAUCCGGACAGAUUUAAUGCUUUUCUUCAGGUGUUGUGUAGAGAGAGUUUGUGUGGACGUUGUUACUGGGAGGUGGAGUGGAGUGGUUGGGUUGGUAUAUCAGUGUCGUAUAAGAGCAUCAGCAGGAAAGGACGGAGAACAGAUUGUGAGUUUGGAUGUAAUGAUCAGUCAUGGAGUUUGUACUGCUCUGACUCCAGAUGCUCGUUCUGGCACAAUAACCAACCGACCAAACUGCCAGUAGUGUCCAGCUCGUCAAGAAUAGGAGUGUAUGUGGAUCACAGUGCAGGAAUUCUGUCCUUCUACAGCAUCUCUGACACAAUGAGCCUCAUUCACAGAGUCCACACCACAUUCACUCAGCCGCUCUGCCCUGGGUUUUGGACCUUGGAUAGGGCCUGAUUCAAAAAUGAAACUUCACAAUUUAAAGAUAAAAGAAAUAUAAUGUUUAUUUCUUUAACUCUGGAUUAUCUCCACUGUAAAAAGAAAUGAAUACACAAUUAACAGUGUUCCAGUAGCUCAAAUGAGAGAGAAUGACCCGAACAACAUACAAGUUAUGAGUUUAAUUCUAAGGGAAUGUAUUGACAGAUAAAAUACAUACCUUAAGUGCAAUAAUGGUUGCUUUGGUAAAAGUGUCCUCCAAACAUAAAUGUAGGCUCCAGAUAAUCAAUAUUUCCUAAGGAAAAGAAGAAUGAAUGCUUGAACAACAAAUUGAUAUAGUAAUUAAAUUGUUUCUAUUAUAUUCUAUACAUGAUCUGUUAUCUCUUGUUGAUCUAUUAGUCUCCACUAUACAUGACAGCAAAUACAUAAUACAAAAAUAGCAAACACAUUACAUAAUAUACACAAAAAUACACAAUAUGCACACAGUGCCUUAGUAUCAGUGUAGCUGAGAUGUGGAUAAAGUGCAGUGCAGUGUAGGUGGUACGGCUACUGGUGGUGUUAAUGGUUGGAGCUCAGCUGACUGCCUGUGAGAGAAGCUGUUAUUUCAUGUUAAAGGCACAUGUAAAGAACCUUUGCCAUACAAUUUAAAUUACUGAACCUAGACAUAAGAGCCUGAAAAAAUACUCAUUAUAGAGAAAAUUUUCAAAUGUAAUGUAAUGUGUAUUUUAUAUCAAAUAUCACUUGAUCUAAUUAUACCUAUAUCUAAUUAUACUAAUUAUAAUUUAUUUUGGUCAACUCCAAACCUCCGAUGUUUUAUUUUAUAGCUGAAAGUGGCAAGCAUUAAUUCAUCAGAUACUUAACAGCUCACUUUUGCUCCAGACAGCAGAUUUUUUGUUAAUAAAAGCAAUUCACACAUAUUUUAGAUCUUGGUAUUUUUAUUAAUCAGGAGUGAAUAACUGCAUCCAUAUUUUAUACAUGAAUUAACCUUAAUAUUGUUUUUUUUUAAUCUGCUAAUAUUUGUGGAUUAAUGUGGUCAUCGUUCCUUAUCUGUUGAGGCAUUUUAAACUAAACCUAACUUUAUUAAAAACCAUGUAGCUUUUUUCUCUUUUUUUAAUUUUCAGAUAGAUUAAGAGUAAAAUGUAAUAUAAUGUAAUGUGUUAACAUUAGUUUGUUGAAUGUAUGUUGAAUGGCAAUAUCCAGCUUAAAACACAUUUUAAUUCUACACGUAUUUGUACAAUGUUUUAAAUAUUGCUGUGUAGCUCACAUGUGAAGUUGUGCAUCAAACUAUGAUCAUAUUUCUAAUAAACUGGAUAACAUGA